UACGAACCGGCCAACCGUUAUUCGGAAUCAUUGGGCUUAAAGAGUGCGUAGGCGGCGCCGUAAGUCGGGUGUGAAAUCCCUCGGCUCAACCGAGGAACUGCGCCCGAUACUGCGGCGCACGAGGGAGACAGGGGUGUGCGGAACUGAUGGUGGAGCGGUGAAAUGCGUGGAUAUCAUCAGGAACACCGGUGGCGAAAGCGGCUCACUGGGUCUCUUCUGACGCUGAGGCACGAAAGCUAGGGUAGCGAACGGG
rnacentral:rRNA from 1 species